CCAGCCGAAGGUUCGGCCCCACCCCCAGCCCACCUCCACUCUGAGCCCGCCGGGCUCAGUCUCAGCGCGAGGGGGGCGCAGCAGCGUGGCGGGACCCUGCGGGAACGGCCGGGGUGGGAGGGCUGGGGGAGCUAGGGAAGACAAGGUUCUCCCACCGUUGUUAUUUGAGGUCCUCCCGCGCUCCGGCCACUUCAGUCCUUGGACUUCACCCGGAGACGGCCACCUCCCCGCCCCCACCCUCCAACUAGUCCUUGGCCCCAGGGAGGUUUGUUCUUCCUGGGCUUUCUUUCAUUCCUUUAGCUCCUCAUUCCUUCAAGCCUACCUCCAAGCCAGCUAGUACUCACCAUAUUACAGAUGGAGGCGAUGUUUCGGACAGUCAUUAGUCUAAAGGUUGCAGUGAUCCCGCACCGCCAUCUUUAUAAGAGAUGGAAGGCGAUGGACUCCCCUUCCGGACUCGGAAAACUCCCUGCCUUCAGAAGCCCGACUCCUUCCACCUUCCUCCUCCUGCGCCUCCUCCUUUGCCUUGUCCUGGCAGCUAUUCUCUCCAUUUCAUCCGGUGCCUGAAAAUCAACUUUGACAAGAGACGCCCGGGAGGAAGGGUCAAUGCCAGUAAUUGGCAUAGGGUGGCACCAACCCGGCCUAGUGGGCUGAAGGGGAAGCUGCCCACCCCUCAGCCAAUCGAGUGCCUGGCAGAGGAGGGGAAUCCUGUGUUGUUUGCUUCAGCCUGACACCCGGGGAAUAAAGGGGAGAGGGCAAGAAAAUUCUGCCCCCCUCCCGUUCCCACCCCUAACCCAAGGCAGUGUGAGAGCAUGGCCCUUAGACACUAGUAGUGAAUCCAAUGCACUUCUCUUUUGCACCGUCCUUUUGGGGAAGUGAGAGGAUGGAAAAACCGGGCCAGAGGCAUACCUUAAGGUUCCCCGUUGGUGUUUCUGCCAGAUGGUAUCUUAUGGUGCUGGAGAAAGCAAAAUAGGAUCAGGACUUGGGAGUGGCCAGGAAGCUUCUCCACGCCUGGGGCUGACUUGUUGGCUGAAAUAAAGAACUGGCAGAAUAGAAAACUCUGGAUUUGGACAGAGGCCAGAAAUAAUGUGCCCAACCAUUCUAUCCAUGACAUUAACAAUGGGAAGUUCUGGGCAAAUAUUUAAGACAGUCCCAUUACUGCCAUCCCUGUCCCACACUCAACGGCAACAUCCCAGUAGAGUCCAAAAAGCUACACUCUGCUCCCUGUCUUUCUAAAUAAAAAUGCUCACACAUGAACACAA